UACAUGGGGUGCAAACGUUGCUCGGAAUCAUUGGGCGUAAAGCGCGCGUAGGCGGUUACUUAAGUUGGAUGUGAAAGCCCUCGGCUUAACUGAGGAAGUGCAUCCAAAACUGAGUAGCUAGAGUACGAAAGAGGGUCGCGGAAUUCCCGGUGUAGAGGUGAAAUUCGUAGAUAUUCGCAAGAACACCAGUGGCGAAGGCGGCUCACUGGCCCGGUACUGACGCUGAGGUGCGAAAGCGUGGGGAGCAAACAGG
rnacentral:rRNA from 1 species